rnacentral:rRNA from 1 species
CCUACGGGAGGCAGCAGUGAGGAAUAUUGGUCAAUGGGCGGGAGCCUGAACCAGCCAAGCCGCGUGAGGGAAGAAGGUACAGCGUAUCGUAAACCUCUUUUGUCAGGGAACAAAGGCGGGGACUAGUCCCCGGAUGAGGGUACCUGAAGAAAAAGCAUCGGCUAACUCCGUGCCAGCAGCCGCGGUAAUACGGAGGAUGCGAGCGGUAUCCGGAUUUAUUGGGUUUAAAGGGUGCGCAGGCGGCCUGUUAAGUCAGCGGUAAAAGCCCGGGGCUCAACCCCGGCGAGCCGUUGAAACUGGCGGGCUUGAGUUGGAGAGAAGUACGCGGAAUGCGCGGUGUAGCGGUGAAAUGCUUAGAUAUCGCGCAGAACCCCGAUUGCGAAGGCAGCGUACCGGCUCCACACUGACGCUGAGGCACGAAAGCGUGGGUAUCGAACAGGAUUAGAUACCCCAGUAGUC